CGUGGGUAACCUGCCCAAGAGAUCGGGAUAACACCUGGAAACAGAUGCUAAUACCGGAUAACAACAGAUGAUGCCUAUCAACUGUUUAAAAGAUGGUUCUGCUAUCACUCUUGGAUGUACCUGCGGUGCAUUAGCUAGUUGGUAGGGUAACGGCCUACCAAGGCGAUGAUGCAUAGCCGAGUUGAGAGACUGAUCGGCCACAUUGGGACUGAGACACGGCCCAAACUCCUACGGGAGGCAGCAGAC
rnacentral:rRNA from 1 species